rnacentral:sRNA from 12 species
AGCGAAGUACGGCGGGCACGCCGUACGUACAGCCGCCAUGGCAGUAUCGGAUAUAGCCGGAGUACAGGAUGACCGCCCCGUAAGCCGUUACGUAAGGCCCGUAA